GAUGAACGCUGGCGGCGUUCUUAACACAUGCAAGUCGAACGGAAAUGCUCCUCCUUUCAGGUUUACUCGAGUGGCGAAUGGGUGUGUAACCCGUGGUUGAUUUGCCCUCCACUUCGGGAUAAGCCUGGGAAACUGGGUCUCCUACCGUAUUGGACUUCCUUUUGGAUGGUGUGUUGUACAGUUUUUCGGUUUGGGAUGAGUUCGCGGCCUAUCCGGUUUUUGGUGGGGUAAUGGCCUACCAAUGCGUCGACGGGUAGCCGGCCUGCGAGGGUGUCCGGCCAGAUUGGGACUGAGAGAAGGCCCAGACUGCUACGGGAGGCAGCAGAGAGGAAUAUUGCACAAGGGGCGGAAGGCUGAUGCAGCGACGCGGCGUGGGGGAAGACGGCCUUCGGGUUGUAACAUCAUUUGGCUAGGGACGAGGCGUUUUGGUGAGGGUACCUGGAGAAGAAGCACAGGCUAACUACGU
rnacentral:rRNA from 1 species